rnacentral:rRNA from 2 species
UGAGGAAUAUUGGUCAAUGGGCGCGAGCCUGAACCAGCCAAGUCGCGUGAGGGAUGACGGUCCUACGGAUUGUAAACCUCUUUAGGCGGGGAGUAAUGUGCUCUACGAGUAGAGUAGUGAGAGUACCCGCAGAAUAAGCAUCGGCUAACUCCGUGCCAGCAGCCGCGGUAAUACGGAGGAUGCGAGCGUUAUCCGGAUUUAUUGGGUUUAAAGGGUGCGCAGGCUGUGCAUCAAGUCAGCGGUAAAAUCUCGGGGCUCAACCCCGUUUAGCCGUUGAAACUGGUGUGCUGGAGUGUGCGCGAGGAAGGCGGAAUGCGCGGUGUAGCGGUGAAAUGCAUAGAUAUUGCGCAGAACUCCGAUUGCGAAGGCAGCCUUCCAGUGCAUGACUGACGCUGAGGCACGAAAGCGUGGGUAUCGAACAGG